rnacentral:rRNA from 1 species
CCCUUAGAUGUUCUGGGCCGCACGCGCGCUACACUGAUGCAUUCAACGAGUUUCUUCCUGGUCCGAGAGGAAUGGGUAACCUUUUGAAAGUGCAUCGUGAUAGGGAUAGACUAUUGCAAUUAUUGGUCUUCAUCGAGGAAUUCCUAGUAGACGUAGUUCAUCAGACUGCAUCGAUUACGUCCCUGCCCUUUGUACACACCGCCCGUCGCUCCUACCGAUUGAAUGCUCAGGUGAGCCAUUCGGACUUUCAUCAUGCUGGUUUCCAGUUUUGAUGAAGGAAAGUCUUGCGAACCUUAUCAUUUAGAGGAAGGAGAAGUCGUAACA